UCCCUGGUGGUCCAGUGGUUAAGACUCUGAGCCCCAAUGCAGGGAGCCUGGGUUCGAUCCCUAGUCAGGGAA
rnacentral:tRNA from 1 species